rnacentral:rRNA from 1 species
UGAGGAAUAUUGGGCAAUGGGCGAAAGCCUGACCCAGCAACGCCGCGUGGAGGAUGAAUGCCGUAAGGUUGUAAACUCCUUUUGGAGGGGACGAAAAAGUAGGUUCAUAGCCUAUAUUGACUGUACCCUCAGAAAAAGCCCCCGGGCUAACUACGUGCCAGCAGCCGCGGUAAUACGUAGGGGGCAAGCGUUGUCCGGAUUUACUGGGUGUAAAGGGCGCGUAGGCGGGCUUGUUAGUCAGAGGUGAAAUCCUGCGGCUUAACCGUAGAACUGCCUUUGAUACUGCAAGUCUUGAGUUCGGAAGAGAGAGGCGGAAUUCCAGGUGUAGUGGUGAAAUACGUAGAUAUCUGGAAGAACACCGGUGGCGAAGGCGGUCUCUUGGUCCGUAACUGACGCUGAGGCGCGAAAGCGUGGGGAGCAAACA